rnacentral:rRNA from 1 species
ACUCCGGGCCAGCAGCCGCGGUAAGGCGGAGGGGGCAAGCGUGUCCGGACUCACUGGGCGUAAAGGGUGCGUAGGCGGUACAGAGCGUCGACACUGGAACCUCCGGGCUCAACCAGGAGACGCGUGGCGAUACGACUGAACUCGAGGCAAGGAGAGGUGCGCGGAAUUCCGGGUGUAGUGGUGAAAUGCGUAGAUAUCCGGAGGAACGUCGGUGGCGUAAGCGGCGCACCGGCCUUGACCUGACGCUGAGGCACGAAAGCGUGGGGAGCGAACCGGAUUAGAUACCCGGGUAGUCCACGCAGUAAACGAUGUCGGCUCGGUGUGCAGUGGUGUAUACACACCACCGCGUGCCCCAGUUCACACGGUAAGCCGACCGCCCGGGGACUACGAGCGCAAGCUUAAAACUCAAAGGAAUUGGCGGGGGCCCGCACAAGCAGCGGAGCGUGUGGUUUAAUUCGACGCAACGCGAAGAACCUUACCCAGGUUUGACAUGGUACUGCAAGCGCACGGAAACGUGUGACCUUCGAGGGUGUACCACAGGUGCUGCAUGGCUGUCGUCAGCUCGUGUCGUGAGAUGUUGGGUUAAGUCCCGCAACGAGCGCAACCCUCGCUGCCAGUUACUCGUGUCUGGCGGGACAGCCCUCUUUGAAGGGGGAGGAAGGCGGGGAUGACGUCAAGUCAGCAUGGCCCUUACGCCUGGGGCGACACACACGCUACAAUGCCGACCACAAUGCGUGGCAAACCCGCAAGGGGGAGCUAAUCGCCAAAGGUCGGCCCAGUGCAGAUCGGGGGCUGCAACUCGCCCCCGUGAAGGCGGAGUUGCUAGUAACCGCGUAUCAGCCAUGGCGCGGUGAAUACGUACCCGGGCCUUGUACACACCGCCCGUCACGUCAUGGGAGUCGGUAAUGCCUGAAGUCCGUGGGCUAACCUUCGGGAGGCAGCGGCCGAGGGCAGGAUCGGCGACUGGGACGAA